GACCCAGUGGUGCAAUGGCUAGCAUAUCUGCAUAUUAUUCAAUAUUGAUCAUAAUCAUUUCUGCAGGAGACCCCCCCCCCCCCGUUCGACUCGGGGUUGGGUCA